rnacentral:rRNA from 1 species
UACGUAGGUGGCGAGCGUUGUCCGGAUUUACUGGGUGUAAAGGGCGUGCAGCCGGGCUGACAAGUCAGAUGUGAAAUCCCGCGGCUCAACCGCGGAACUGCAUUUGAAACUGUCAGUCUUGAGUACCGGAUAGGUCAUCGGAAUUCCUUGUGUAGCGGUGAAAUGCGUAGAUAUAAGGAAGAACACCAGUGGCGAAGGCGGAUGACUGGACGGCAACUGACGGUGAGGCGCGAAAGCGUGGGGAGCAAACAGG